AUCACAGUCAAUCUGCCCUCUGUCAACUACAAUAUUACACAAGGUUGCAGAUGUAAAUGUCAGUGGUCGAAAGGAAAAAUAGUCCUGGGUUUAAACUGGCAGCUCAAGAGUGGAGAAGAAAUGUGGAAAAUACAUAGUAAAUGUGGAAUCCUCUAGAAACCAGCCUGUGAUUGGUCCUGGUAGCCACACUCAAGUCCAAGUGAUCAGAAACUCACAAUUCAGUAUGUCAGUUUCCAUCAUCAACUGAUGUCACUGAUGAUGCUGGCACAUAUGUUGCUCCUACCUUUGUCAACCUGGGGACUCCUGGACGCUCACAAUAUCCAAAGAGAGACUUUCAUCAUGGACAGGCUUCCUUUAGCCAAUGCCUGGACCCUGUGGUGCAAGGUGACAUUUGGUGACUGCUGGUGCCCUUAUUCCCUGGACAUCCGAACUGGGGCUUCCUUCCUAAAACUGAAGCCCGCAUUUCCUAGCAGUGAGACCUACUCCGUUCUUUUCAAAGAUGUGAGUUGUGUUGUGCCUCUCUCCUGCUGCUCCCGAGCUCAGUUACGGAAGGGAAUGACAGCGAGCUAAUCACAGAUUUUAAAAUUGAGCAAGUGUCAGGAAUGCACCAAGUAUAUUAUAUACCUUAUUAUCUUCUUUAAUCCUUACACUUAUCCUUGGAUACAGGUAUACCUCUUCUUGUGAAGAAAUAGAGGCUUAGGACAUUAAGGAAAUUGCCAGGUAUUAGCCUGUUUAUAAGAGUCACAGAUGAAAGUCAACCAGGAAUCUUUAGAAUCCAAAGCUCUUAAUCACUGUGCU